AUGAUUUGGUGUGCAUGGAACACUGAUUUUUCUUUAAUACACUGUCCAAGUCAUGAUUUUUCUCAACUGGUGCAUGUAUAUAUAUAUUUGGGUGCUAGUCAAUUAGAGAAUGUCUGUGAUACCAUGUAUGUACUAUGUGCCAGUGUAGCUGUACUGAUGCUUUGGGUUUCAUCUGUGCAGCAGAGGACAAGGGCUUCAUGGACAACCAAGGCGCAUGGUGCUUGCAAGCGACGAAUGGAGUUUGUUCGACAUAGGCACGGAGGAGGAGGAGGACAGAGCACCUCUCUUCUUCUAGGUUCUUCUCCUUACCUUCACUUCUUGUAUGUGCCUGUGCUGCAGCUCACCCAUGGUCUUAUUUGUCCUGCAGGUUAG
rnacentral:rRNA from 1 species